AUUGCGCUGGAGCCGUCCUUGAAAUACCACCCUUGUAUGUUUGAUGUUCUAACGCAGGCCCAUGAAUCUGGGUCGCGGACAGUGCCUGGUGGGUAGUUUGACUGGGGCGGUCUCCUCCCAAAGAGUAACGGAGGAGCACGAAGGUUGGCUAAUCCUGGUCGGACAUCAGGAGGUUAGUGCAAUGGCAUAAGCCAGCUUAACUGCGAGACGGACAGGUCGAGCAGGUACGAAAGUAGGUCAUAGUGAUCCGGUGGUUCUGAAUGGAAGGGCCAUCGCUCAACGGAUAAAAGGUACUCCGGGGAUAACAGGCUGAUACCGCCCAAGAGUUCAUAUCGACGGCGGUGUUUGGCACCUCGAUGUCGGCUCAUCACAUCCUGGGGCUGAAGUCGGUCCCAAGGGUAUGGCUGUUCGCCAUUUAAAGUGGUACGCGAGCUGGGUUCAGAACGUCGUGAGACAGUUCGGUCCCUAUCUGCCGUGGGCGUUGGAUGAUUGAAGGGAGUUGCUCCUAGUACGAGAGGACCGGAGUGAACGAACCUCUGGUGUUCGGGUUGUCACGCCAGUGGCACUGCCCGGUAGCUAAGUUCGGAAUCGAUAACCGCUGAAAGCAUCUAAGCGGGAAGCGAGCCCUGAGAUGAGUCAUCCCUGACCCCUUGAGGGUCCUAAAGGGCCGUUGGAGACCACAACGUUGAUAGGUGGGGUGUGUAAGCGCGGCGACGUGUUGAGCUAACCCAUACUAAUUACCCGUGAGGCUUAACCAUACAACACCCAAGAAGUGUU
rnacentral:rRNA from 1 species